rnacentral:rRNA from 1 species
AUGGCGCAGCAGCAGCAGGCUGACGCGCCGCCACUUGGUUUCUUCGAGCGGAUAUCCACCUGUGACGUGUCCUUAAGGAAGCGGCAGCAGCGCGACAACGCCGCCAUGGCCUCCUCCGACCCUGCGCUGCCGCCUCCGCUUCUUUUGCUGCCACCACCGGUGCCGGAGCAGGCGCUCGUCCCACCGCCGGCCAGAGCCAACCCGAGGCCCACAGUGUUGGACGGCGUCCUGAGUCUGCUCAGGUCCGGGGAGUCGUUCAUUCGCGGAGCCUUCCGGGGCAACUCCCGACGUGCGUCUCCUCCAUGGCCGCCGACGUCUCAGCAGCAGCAACAGCAGCCGCCGCCGCAGCAGCACCACCGCAACCACCCUGGUGAAAUCAUGAAGCGGCUGCAGCGCGAGACGUUCCCUGAUGUGAUGAGGCUCAUGGACAAGCACGAGCAGAUCGACCGCAUCCUUUCCAUGUACAGGAGCGGCAAGGGGUUCCACUUCCCGGAGCUCCCCGUCCGGGUGAAGGUCGCGCUUGACGCGGUCGGGGCGCUGCUCCUCGUCAACGACGAGGAGUUCGACCACGCCAGGGAGAUCCUCGGCAAGGCGGGGAACAGGACGGGCCUCAACUCCAGGUUCGUCCUCGAGUCCAAGACCAGGGGAAACGACACCAUUGCAGCAGAGUUCUGCACCAAGCUCGGGAUAGGGGCGACCCUCGGGGAAGAAGACACCGAGAGGAGGCCGCUGGAGCUGACCAGGCUGCAGUACUGCGCCCACGUCAACCACUGGCUGUCCAUGAUCCUAGUUCCCUUCGGAGCUCAAUGCAACGGCUUCCUGCACGGCACGAGCUUGAUCCAGAAUCUCCGGAGCCAGGCCUCUCUCGACGGCCCGCCUUCGUUCUCGGAACAACACAACUGCGCCGCUGGUUUGAGUAUGAGGGGGUCCAACUUCACCGUGUUGCUCGCCGAGCUUGUCUUCGGUUCAGGAGCACAGGACGGCGAUCAUAUGGUGGCUAACCGCAUGACAACGUUUGGGCAGGUGCGCUACGAACCAGCCCAAGAUGUCAAGCUCAGCUUGUCGGGGCUAUGGCAGAUCCGCCCGUUGCUGUCCCGGUUCAACAACCUCGGGACACUUGCCAUUCCCUUUGGCAGCCUAAAACCACAAAGGGGCACUCCUCCUCCGGACAUUCUUCUUGCUCCCAUGGCGAGGAACGACCCUGCGGCACACGGACCGCAGCCCAGGCCUGUGCAGUCAAUCGCUGCUGCGAUGGUGGAGUGUGAGCUGUUUGAAGCCAUGAGAGCACAAGGCUGGGUAGAGAUGGAAGGGUGGUCCGGGCAUGGGCCGGUGCGGUGGGGCUGCUGCCUGUCCGACACCCCUGAGCAUGAGCUGGGAUGGGGAGUGAGGAUGGGCGGUGCGGCGGAGGGGGAUACGCACGGCCCGCACCUGGAAGGAUUCCUCAGCUUCAACCUCGGCAGGGGCGGCAAGCUGCAGCCUGGCCUGGUGUAUGUCAUGGAGGGGGAGAAGCGGACUCCGGCGUUGGUCCUGCGGUCGACCUGGUUCAUGUGA